ACUUUCGAGCUCCAUCAAGAUCCCAGCACUGGGCAUGCAACGAUCAUAGACUGGAUUGCUUGAACCAUGAUCUCUUUCCAUCCUAUCAAACAGUAAAUCAUCCGGCAAAGUUGUAAAGCUUCCGAGGGUUUGGGGUUUAGGGUUUUUAGAUUAUGUCUCGCAUUCUCCGGGGAUCUCUCAGGGCGAGCAGGAUCCAGCGGCGAUCGUGGAGCGCGUCCGUCGCGCCGGCGCCGGCGGAGGAUGAUCCCAGGAGCUUGUAUGGCAGUGGAUGGGAUGCGGGGCCGCGAGCGGUGAGAGUGGCGGUGUGGUGGGAUUUCGAGGACUGCGACAUCCCAGCUGGGAUUCCUGCGACGAAUGUGAGCAAUAAUAUCAUCUCUGGGCUGCGAACCAGGGGAUUCAAGGGUCCAGUGUCGAUCGACGCGUAUGGUGAUACAUGGCAGCUCUCGCGGAGCACACAGGAGGCGUUGGCUUCCACUGGGAUUUCUCUCCACCAUUUGCCAUCGUCUCGCAAGAAUUUGGCCUCAGAUCGAACUCUCAUGCUGGAUUUGGUGCUGUGGACUGUCGAUCAUCCGCCACCAGCGCAUCUCUUCGUCAUCUCCACGGACAGUGAUCUCUCCAGUGCAUUACACUCCCUCCGGAUGAAGAACUACAACGUUCUUCUGGCAUGCAACUCUCACUCGGCCUCCCCGGCUCUCCUUGCCGCAGCUUCGGUAGUAUGGCAGUGGGGUAAGCUCGCUAGAGGAGAAGGCCUAGUAGCACAGACAAUCGUGAGCAGCGUCCAUCGCUCCUCGCAGGAGUUUCUACAGGAAAUAAGUUCGCCGCCGCCACCGCCACCAUCGUCUCCUCCACCAUCAUUUACGCCGCCAACGCCAACGCCAACGCCAACGCCUCCACCAUCAUUUACGCCGCCAACACCACCGCCACCUUUGUCUCCAUCGCUGCCAAGUUCGCCAUCUUCAUACACUCCAUCUCCGCCACCACCUAUUCCAGCAUCACCACGUCCAGCUCAAGAUUCUCUGCCAGGGAGACUAGAGAAACAGGAUUCUUUACAGGACUUCCACAAGGAUAUUUGCGCACUGCUCCAGCAAGCGGCCUCGACGCUCAGCCAAAAGCCUCCGGAAUCGAUGCUUUUGAGUGUGACCAAGGCAGGUAGGAAGGAUGAGCGCUCCACAGCAACAGAGAACAGGAGUGGUUCGAAGGAAAAAGCCCUGGCGAAUACUGAAAACGACUCCGGCACCAACCAGCCCGAGUCUAUAAAGCAGUCGUCCUGUGAGGCACCGUCCGGGGGCUCCACGCAUGAUGCUCGGCAAAGCGAUAGCAAAGUCGUUGUCCAAGUCGCAAAGCAAGUAGCAGCCACCACCGAGAGCUCGACGUCUCAGUGUCAGCGGCAGAUAAAUGCGGUGACUGUGAAGGAUGGAAACGCAGUGAGCACAUCUCAAAGUCGCUCGCCAGGUGCUGUCACCAGCGCCCACGAAGGAAAGUGGACGUGGAGAAGGUUUCUGUUCGGAUCCAAGGCUGCGAGUCGAGCAAAAGUCGAUGGUGGACAGGAGGAGAUUAAGGAAAGCUUUCCCAGCCAUUCUAUUUCUCCGCCAGACGAUGAGGCAUCAAAUCAAUCAUUUCCAAGGCGCUCCUGGAGUCACUUCUGGAGGCGUACAACGGCAGCAAAAGAGGACAAGGGAGACAACGCAUGGGAUAUUGUGAAACAGUUUUCUAAGACUGAGGAAGGUGCCUUUCUUUUAUCCAAAUCGCAAAGCCAGAAGGAAUUCACAAGCUUGCUUUGCGAGUCCGGACCGCCAUGCAUUCGAAACUGGGAAGAGGACAGGGUAUCAGAGGUCGUCAGCCGUCUCGUAGCCGAAAAGGAGAUUGAUGCCUCGGCAUGGGAGCUUGAAAAGGAUCCUUCCUCGCAGCUUAAAACGGAAGAAGAUGACAUCCAAAACUCGGACGACACUGCUCCCGCAUUAAGUGAUCAACCGUGUCCUUGGGAAACGAUAAAGGGACACUACCCCAGCCUCGAGGAGCUGAGGAUUUGGAUGGUCUACUUUUUAAAUGUGGAACAGGAGCGGAGAAGCUUCGACGUCUCUCAUCUCAAGGCAGAGUUUAAGAAGCAGUUUGGCCUCUCUCUCAACCUCAACAUAUUCGGCUGUGUGAGGAUCAAGGACCUCUUGGGCGUCAUGCAAGACAUCGUUCACGUAUAUUAUCCGAAGUCUACAGUGUGCAUGAUAAGAACCAGGACGUUUCCCAGGAUGGCUAAGGUGAAUCCACGCGCGUUGAGAGAUUACGCACCGCUUCUCGAGGAGUUGCUACUGGAACACCCGGAUGGAAUUCCCAUUAGUAUGAUCAAGGCCAGGUUCUACAGCAAGUUUAGCUGCGACAUCGAUCAUCGAAAGCUUGGCUACUCGAGACUGGACAUGUUUUUGAGAGCUGCACGGAGUGACAUUUAUGCCAGACUGGACAGUGUGGAGCAUUCUGUCUAUGUCUUUAUUCGAAGACAAGAGGAAGAGAGUACUGGCGAGGAGGAGCAAGAGGAAGAAGAAGAACAAGGAAACGAAGGACGGCCAGCGAAAUUUAUCGUGGACAAGGAGAUCAGCCUAUGACACAGGACAGGACUAAAGCGUAAAAAAUGUGUUCCUUUCGUUUUAUUCUAGUUUUUGUUUUGGUAGCUAACAUAGAGCUGUGUUUUCUCUCAGGAAAACUGACACAAUGGAAUCACGCUUGAACUGGAAAGCUGAGAUGCUACAUGUGCUUUGCUAGUUGGCAACGAGAAUUUUUGUUCGACGCAGGCUCUCCCAUCCACUCCGUCCUGGAAAAUCUUAUCUUUCGCUCUAAACUUGGAGCCAGAUACGUACCGAGAAUCGCUCCACAGCGCUUCUCUCGAGGGAGAUCAAAGAUGCUGCGCCAAGUUUCCAGUUUUCACCGUGGUCCAAGCACCCUGCGGAUUAAAAUCUCGUCGCCAAAGGCUGUCCAGCAGCUGGAUGCCUCUUCCAACCAGGAUUGCGACGUCUGGAUUACUCUAAGAUGAUUGAGAGGCGACCGACACAAAUCUCCUGUGGAAGCUGCAUUGGCUGUUAGAAAGCGUCAACAACCGUGAAAUAUACAAUGGCUGCGAGCGCGCGCGAGAACAAAGAAAAGGCGAGAAAAAUGGCAACGUGACUCCAGCUUACACAUCGAAGCCAGCGGCCGACUGACACACUUGAACCGCGGCGCUCUGCCGUACGGCUUCCUCCGCCGUUGGAUCCGUGGGCUUAUCGGACGGCCCCAGGCGGGUAGCCGGAUGUGGGGAAAUACUCUGGUGCUCUUGCGAGCACAAAAGGCCAACUUUUCCAAUGUGGGUAAUCUCAGGGAUCUUGUCCUAGUCUUCUCUUCUUCCAAUCUCUUCUUUCUUUC